rnacentral:misc_RNA from 1 species
CCCGGUUUGUCACCGGCAGUCACCUUAGAGUGCCCAACUGAAUGCUGGCAACUAAGAUUAAGGGUUGCGCUCGUUACGGGACUUAACCCAACAUCUCACGACACGAGCUGACGACAACCAUGCACCACCUGUCACUCUGUCCCCGAAGGGAAAACUCUAUCUCUAGAGUGUUCAGAGGAUGUCAAGACCUGGUAAGGUUCUUCGCGUUGCUUCGAAUUAAACCACAUGCUCCACCGCUUGUGCGGGCCCCCGUCAAUUCUUUUGAGUUUCAGCCUUGCGGCCGUACUCCCCAGGCGGAGUGCUUAUUGCGUUAACUUCAGCACUAAGGGGCGGAAACCCCCUAACACCUAGCACUCAUCGUUUACGGCGUGGACUAC